rnacentral:rRNA from 1 species
GACGUAGGGUGCGAGCGUUAAUCGGAAUUACUGGGCGUAAAGCGUGCGCAGGCGGUUUUGUAAGUCAGAUGUGAAAUCCCCGGGCUUAACCUGGGAAUGGCAUUUGGGACUGCAAGGCUUGAGUGCGGCAGAGGAGACUGGAAUUCCUGGUGUAGCAGUGAAAUGCGUAGAUAUCAGGAGGAAUACCGAUGGCGAAGGCAGGUCUCUGGGCUGACACUGACGCUCAUGCACGAAAGCGUGGGGAGCAAACAGG